ACGAACGCUGGCGGCGCGCCUAACACAUGCAAGUCGAACGAGAGAGAGGAAGCUUGCUUCCUUGAUCGAGUGGCGAACGGGUGAGUAACGCGUGAGGAACCUGCCUCAAAGAGGGGGACAACAGUUGGAAACGACUGCUAAUACCGCAUAAGCCCACGACCCGGCAUCGGGAAGAGGGGAAAGGAGCAAUCCGCUUUGAGAUGGCCUCGCGUCCGAUUAGCUAGUUGGUGAGGUAACGGCCCACCAAGGCAACGAUCGGUAGCCGGACUGAGAGGUUGAACGGCCACAUUGGGACUGAGACACGGCCCAGACUCCUACGGGAGGCAGCAGUGGGGAAUAUUGCACAAUGGGGGAAACCCUGAUGCAGCGACGCCGCGUGGAGGAAGAAGGUCUUCGGAUUGUAAACUCCUGUUGUUGAGGAAGAUAAUGACGGUACUCAACAAGGAAGUGACGGCUAACUACGUGCCAGCAGCCGCGGUAAAACGUAGGUCACAAGCGUUGUCCGGAAUUACUGGGUGUAAAGGGAGCGCAGGCGGGCGAUCAAGUUGGAAGUGAAAUCCAUGGGCUCAACCCAUGAACUGCUUUCAAAACUGGUCGUCUUGAGUAGUGCAGAGGUAGGCGGAAUUCCCGGUGUAGCGGUGGAAUGCGUAGAUAUCGGGAGGAACACCAGUGGCGAAGGCGGCCUACUGGGCACCAACUGACGCUGAGGCUCGAAAGUGUGGGUAGCAAACAGGAUUAGAUACCCUGGUAGUCCACACCGUAAACGAUGAUUACUAGGUGUUGGGAGAUUGACCCUCUCAGUGCCGCAGUUAACACAAUAAGUAAUCCACCUGGGGAGUACGACCGCAAGGUUGAAACUCAAAGGAAUUGACGGGGGCCCGCACAAGCAGUGGAGUAUGUGGUUUAAUUCGACGCAACGCGAAGAACCUUACCAAGUCUUGACAUCCCUUGACGAUGCUGGAAACAGUAUUUCUCUUCGGAGCAAGGAGACAGGUGGUGCAUGGUUGUCGUCAGCUCGUGUCGUGAGAUGUUGGGUUAAGUCCCGCAACGAGCGCAACCCUUAUCCUUUGUUGCCAGCGGUCCGGCCGGGAACUCAAAGGAGACUGCCAGUGAUAAACUGGAGGAAGGUGGGGAUGACGUCAAAUCAUCAUGCCCUUUAUGACUUGGGCUACACACGUACUACAAUGGCGUUAAACAAAGAGAAGCAAGACCGCGAGGUGGAGCAAAACUCAGAAACAACGUCCCAGUUCGGACUGCAGGCUGCAACUCGCCUGCACGAAGUCGGAAUUGCUAGUAAUCGUGGAUCAGCAUGCCACGGUGAAUACGUUCCCGGGCCUUGUACACACCGCCCGUCACACCAUGAGAGCCGGGGGGACCCGAAGUCGGUAGUCUAACCGCAAGGAGGACGCCGCCGAAGGUAAAACUGGUGAUUGGGGUG
rnacentral:rRNA from 1 species